GGCUGCACAAUGAGAAAGCCUUUCCGAGGGUUUCUCGAGCGUUACUGGAAGGUCAGACGAAGGUCAGCGCAAGGACACGGCUCCUACUUUCCCCACCGUCAGCAAGGGCGGGUGCGCGGGGCGGACGUGGAUUUGCCAGCUCCGGGGGUAGCCAUGGCCGGGACGGCUUCAUCUGCAUGGGAACAGCCAUAGGAAUCUUGAUUAAUCAGGGAGAGAAGUGGAGACUGGCUGCCAGGCAGAUGCCCUAAACAAGAGUAACUUAUCAGCUCUGUUUCCAAGAUGAGACAUCUGUCACCACAUUGCACAGAGCCAGCCAAGCCACUUGCUCCUCACCAGCACAGAAGCACGAGGGCUUCCCUCUCCCCAAAGGAAGCCAUAGAAAUAGCCACCGUAUAAUUUGCAGAAUUUCUUCUAGAAAAGGCUUUGCUUGGGCUAAAGAAAGCAUUGCACCCAGAAUGCUUCGGGGGACAGUGCUGGACAGGAGCAGGAGCCAGCAUGCAGCUGCAUUCCCAGGCCCCUGUAUUUGCCAGCGAGCCGGCCCCAGCGGCAGCGCAGGGAGGUCCCCAGCCCGGAGGAACACCAAGUGCUGUGGACAGCAAGGAACCACUCUGCCAGCACACACACGGCAAAGCCCGAUGUGGUUAAUCCCUCCAGUUUAUUAUGUAAUAAAACGCUUUCCAGACCUGUUAAAAUUUAA